rnacentral:rRNA from 1 species
AUUGAACGCUGGCGGCAUGCUUUACACAUGCAAGUCGAACGGCAGCACGGACUUCGGUCUGGUGGCGAGUGGCGAACGGGUGAGUAAUACAUCGGAACGUGCCCAGUUGUGGGGGAUAACUACUCGAAAGAGUAGCUAAUACCGCAUGAGAACUGAGGUUGAAAGCAGGGGAUCGUAAGACCUUGCGCAACUGGAGCGGCCGAUGGCAGAUUAGGUAGUUGGUGGGAUAAAAGCUUACCAAGCCGACGAUCUGUAGCUAGUCUGAGAGGACGACCAACCACACUGGGAAUGAGACACGGCCCAGACUCCUACGGGAGGCAGCAGUGGGGAAUUUUGGACAAUGGGCGAAAGCCUGAUCCAGCAAUGCCGCGUGCAGGAUGAAGGCCUUCGGGUUGCAAACUGCUUUUGUACGGAACGAAAAGCCCCGGGUUAAUACCCUGGGGUCAUGACGGUACCGUAAGAAUAAGCACCGGCUAACUACGUGCCAGCCGCCGCGGUAA